GAACUGCUAAUUCUUACCCCUGAAGUUAAAUUCCUCAGACCCCUCACUUUUAAAGGAUAAAAGAAAAUC
rnacentral:tRNA from 1 species